rnacentral:lncRNA from 1 species
AGAUGCCAUCAGUGUGAUGAGUUGAGGCAUCGAGUUAGAGAUUAUCUAUAGCUCAAAAAUUGGACGGAGGCUAUUGCGGUAGUGGUCCAAAGUAGCAACACUGAAGAAUAUGAUGAUAUUCUUCUAGUUUCAAAUAAGGUAUCUACUUCUUUUUCUUAGUAGAUUUUAAAUUCGACAUGUUCGCAUCAUGUUUGUUGUAGAGAAGAGUUAUUUGACUCUCUGAGAGCAGUGAGAGCACUGUUCAUGUGUCGGAU